rnacentral:rRNA from 1 species
ANUGGGGGCUUGCGGUGGGUACGGNCCGGCUUGAGUGCGGUAGGGGAGACUGGAACUCCUGGUGUAGCGGUGGAAUGCGCAGAUAUCAGGAAGAACACCGGUGGCGAAGGCGGGUCUCUGGGCCGUUACUGACGCUGAGGAGCGAAAGCGUGGGGAGCGAACAGGAUUAGAUACCCUGGUAGUCCACGCCGUAAACGUUGGGCACUAGGUGUGGGGGGCCUUUUCCGGNUCUUCCGCGCCGUAGCUAACGCAUUAAGUGCCCCGCCUGGGGAGUACGGCCGCAAGGCUAAAACUCAAAGGAAUUGACGGGGGCCCGCACAAGCGGCGGAGCAUGCGGAUUAAUUCGAUGCAACGCGAAGAACCUUACCAAGGCUUGACAUGUGCCGGUCGGCUCCGGAGACGGGGCUUCCUCCUUGUGGGGCCGGUUCACAGGUGGUGCAUGGUUGUCGUCAGCUCGUGUCGUGAGAUGUUGGGUUAAGUCCCGCAACGAGCGCAACCCUUGUCCCGUGUUGCCAGCACGUUGUGGUGGGGACUCGCGGGAGACUGCCGGGGUCAACUCGGAGGAAGGUGGGGAUGACGUCAAAUCAUCAUGCCCCUUAUGUCUUGGGCUUCACGCAUGCUACAAUGGCCGGUACAGAGGGCUGCGAUACCGUGAGGUGGAGCGAAUCCCUUAAAGCCGGUCUCAGUUCGGAUCGGUGUCUGCAACUCGACACCGUGAAGUUGGAGUCGCUAGUAAUCGCAGAUCAGCAACGCUGCGGUGAAUACGUUCUCGGGCCUUGUACACACCGCCCGUCACGUCAUGAAAGUCGGCAUCACCCGAAGCCCG